rnacentral:rRNA from 1 species
AGAGUUUGAUCCUGGCUCAGAUUGAACGCUGGCGGUAUGCUUAACACAUGCAAGUCGAACGGAAACGAUACUAGCUUGCUAGUAGGCGUCGAGUGGCGGACGGGUGAGUAACGCGUAGGAAUCUACCUAAUAGUGGGGGAUAGCCCGGAGAAAUCCGGAUUAAUACCGCAUAAUCUCUAUGGAGUAAAGGGGCCCUCUUCUUGAAAGGUUUCGCUAUCAGAUGAGCCUGCGUAAGAUUAGCUAGUUGGUGAGGUAAAAGCUCACCAAGGCGACGAUCUUUAGCUGGUCUGAGAGGAUGAUCAGCCACACUGGGACUGAGACACGGCCCAGACUCCUACCGGGAGGCAGCAGUGGGGAAUAUUGGACAAUGGGGGCAACCCUGAUCCAGCAAUACCGCGUGUGUGAAGAAGGCCUGAGGGUUGUAAAGCACUUUCAAUUGUGAAGAAAAGUUAAUAGUUAAUAACUAUUAGCCUUGACGUUAACUUUAGAGAGAA